rnacentral:lncRNA from 1 species
CUCCUUCCUGGGACUGCAAUUAUAAAGAUGCCCAGCUGCUGGUGGCAGGCUACAAUUGAUUUCACUCUCCAUGAAGCCAGAUGUGCUUUCAGGCUGUAAAAUAUCCCUGUCUCACUCCUAUCCCAUCAUCAACUGGGGUCCCAACCAGUCCCUGUGUGGAUACCACACUAAGGAUACCACUGAGGCCCUGGCAAAGAGUUGCAACUGUGUAGUGGAAUACAUAUCACAGCAGGCAGUGGACAUUGUUUUCUAUGGAUUUUCCAACUAAAGAAAAGUCUGGACUCAAUCAUCAUUCUGGACCACCAUUUAC